rnacentral:rRNA from 1 species
CCUACGGGAGGCAGCAGUGGGGAAUAUUGCACAAUGGGCGCAAGCCUGAUGCAGCCAUGCCGCGUGUGUGAAGAAGGCCUUCGGGUUGUAAAGCACUUUCAGCGGGGAGGAAGGCGUUAAGGUUAAUAACCUUGUCGAUUGACGUUACCCGCAGCAGAAGCACCGGCUAACUCCGUGCCAGCAGCCGCGGUAAUACGGAGGGUGCAAGCGUUAAUCGGAAUUACUGGGCGUAAAGCGCACGCAGGCGGUCUGUCAAGUCGGAUGUGAAAUCCCCGGGCUCAACCUGGGAACUGCAUUCGAAACUGGCAGGCUAGAGUCUUGUAGAGGGGGGUAGAAUUCCAGGUGUAGCGGUGAAAUGCGUAGAGAUCUGGAGGAAUACCGGUGGCGAAGGCGGCCCCCUGGACAAAGACUGACGCUCAGGUGCGAAAGCGUGGGGAGCAAACAGGAUUAGAUACCCUUGUAGUC